CUGACGGCCGGUUUCACAAUCUGUGGUUAACCCUAGCGGUCAACUAACCUUUACCCACAGUCUAACUGACAGUUGCUGUUUCACAACCACAGAUUCAAUCAUGGUUAGUUGACCCUAAGUUUUGUUUUAUUUUUCUUAUGUUGGUAGGAAAUUAUGGACAAUGAUCACCAGAAAUAACAUUUUUAUGGAAGAAUUAUCAAAUCAGCUGAUCAGUCAGAUGAGUUUCCAUUGAUUUUUAUUAGGAUAAAUUCAAUAAAUUGUUAUAUUUCUUUAUGACUAUUAAUUUGUUGUAUAUAUUUUUUAAGGAUUUUAUAUUUAGUUGUGGAGUUUAUUUUGCAGAUUAAGGAAAAAUAAAUGUGUGUAUAUGUGUGGUUAGGAUAUUCAGUCAGACUUGUGGUUGAUUUGCAUAAUCAUAUUUUUGAUGUUGAUUCUUGCUACCUUGCUUGCUUUAAAAAUUCAUAUAUUUUAACAUACCUCCUAUGGGAUUAAUAAAAUUUCAUACAUGAUGGUUGCAUCUUAGAUUUUGGACCAUAAAAAUUACUAUGCAAAACUUUUUUGAAGUAUCUUUUUUUCGUAAAAUUAAUAUUAAAAAUGCUUCCCAUACGUGGCCAACUAAAGUACACACACUGUAUAUUACAUGCACAUUAUACAUUUUAAGUUUUGUUUAAGAAUAAUAUUUGUUUUAAGGUCUUUCGCCAAUAUUGUUAAAAUUAAAUUAAUAUAAAAACAUUUAGCAAGCAAGAGACUAUAGUAUGUAUUAAUAAUUACCCCAGGAAGCAAAUCAUUUAAAAAUCGAACAAUUAUUGGCCGCUGAAAUGCUAAACGCAUUUAAGUACAUCAUAUAAAUUCAUAUCUGUAAUUAAUAAUUUACGUGUAUACACUCUGUCCUGUCAAUAAAACGAAAUUAGGUUAGGAUAACCUCUGGUUAAGAGCUUAACCAUCACUCCAAGCUCUGGUUAAAAAUUCUGUCGGUUAACCACAACUUCGCCGUUGACCUGAUAUUGUGAAACACAUAUUUCGGGGUAACUUCUGGUUAUCUCUUAACCACAAGUUAACUUCGACUUGUGAAACCGGCCGUGAUUAGGGCAUCUGAAGGAUUAGUUUAGAAAAUAUAAAUUUCACAUAGACCACACAUUAAAAAUUGGAUUUAAAAUUUGAACAUUUGCUUUUUCUCACACCUCUGACUGAAUGUGUUUUUACAGCUCUUUGUUGACUAAGGCCCGGUCUUUUCACCUCCGAAUAAAUAUGCUCUUAUCUGGCAGUUAGCUAUCUGGAGGAUAAAUAUUUAUUCGCCAGAUAAAAUGUACCCGUCUUUUCACGUCAAUUUAUGUUCCAGUUAGUUAUCCGGUAGAUAAGCUUAAAAGUAAGUUUGGAUUCCGAACACACCUGACUUUUAUGUUUAUUUUUAUAAUUUCAGCUUUAACUUAACCUAACAUAAUUAGAUUCGAACGAAGUAUUUCAAAGAUGAUUUUAUCGAUUUUAUUUCCAUUUUGGAAGAAGGAAUGAAGGAAAUAAGGAAAACAUUGAUUAUGCUGAAAUAGUUUACUGGAGAGCUUGAACAAGAGGUAAAUCCAUUUUAAAUUAGAGGAAAACUGUUGAUUUGUAUGUAAAAUAGAAGACAAAGACAAGUUUAAAUAAAGACAAGCUAGCUAAUGAAACAGAUGCAGUGAUAUGACAAACACCUAGAAGAUGGAAUCCUGUGUUCUCAAAGAAAAAGCUAGUUCCAGAAAUAAGCUAUUCUCCUUUUCAUGAACAUUUUUCAGUGCGUCACAAAUUAUAGAAAAAAAGGUAAGUCCGUGAUAAUACACAUUUAUGGCAUUUAUUCUAACGUGACAUUUUUGUUAAAUCUAACAGUUGUCAAAUUUUAUUUUCAAUUUGGAAUAAAACCAAAUCAAUUGUGUCUAUUGCAUUUAUAAAAUGGUAUUUUCUUUCAUUUGUAUAGUCUUAUAAAUUGUACAGAUUAUAUUGAUAAUAUUAUUAUUUUAUUUAAUUAAUAAUUCUUUUUUGGUUAUGGCGCCAUCUAUCGACAACUAGAAUAAUCACCGAACUAGAAUAAUUACCAAAGUAUUCAAAGACGUGCCUUUUUUUCUGUCACAUACAAUUUAAUGUGUUAGAGAGAAAUCGAAAAACUGUGACGCACUGAAAGAUGAUCAUGAGAAAAAGAAUACCAAUAAUAAACUAGAGAAUGUAUUACAAGAAAGAACAACGCUAAUACCCAACAUAGCUCAAUUGCUUCAGAUAGAAAAAGAGGAGGAAAGGGUAGAACACAAGCGUGCCAGAGAAAAUUAAAGGGCAGAAGAGACACAAAAAUUCAUUGAUUUAUUAAAUUUAAUAAUUAAAUUAUACAAAGGACAAUUAAAUAAAGAAUAAAAAAUUA